AUGCCGCUCUGGACCCUGGAAGGCGCGAAGGAGGUGCUGGGCGACGUGGUCAUCACCGACCGCUUUGACAGCCGCACGUUCGAGCGUGCGGACACGAAGCUGUUCGCCGUCUGGGUGUGGGUGUGGCAGCUGCACCACAUCCCCACCAAGCAAACCCUGUGGAAGCAUGCCAGAGGGGCUGGCCGGGUGGAGGAGAUGAUCGGCUUCUCGCCCCCGAGCCGGGCCGUUGCGCCGUCGCCGGACCUGAUGCGCUGGGAUGUGCUGGUGCACAUCGACCGGGUUGAAGACUAG
rnacentral:rRNA from 1 species